rnacentral:rRNA from 1 species
GACGAACGCUGGCGGCGUGCUUAACACAUGCAAGUCGAACGAUGAACCCGGAGCUUGCUCCGGUGGAUUAGUGGCGAACGGGUGAGUAACACGUGAGUAACCUGCCCUUGACUCUGGGAUAACUGCGGGAAACUGUAGCUAAUACCGGAUACGACCCUCGGCGGCAUCGCCAGGGGGUGAAAAGAAUUUCGGUCAAGGAUGGACUCGCGGCCUAUCAGCUAGUUGGUGAGGUAACGGCUCACCAAGGCAACGACGGGUAGCCGGCCUGAGAGGGUGACCGGCCACACUGGGACUGAGACACGGCCCAGACUCCUACGGGAGGCAGCAGUGGGGAAUAUUGCAUAAUGGGCGCAAGCCUGAUGCAGCAACGCCGCGUGAGGGAUGACGGCCUUCGGGUUGUAAACCUCUUUUAGUAGGGAAGAAGCGAAAGUGACGGUACCUGCAGAAAAAGCACCGGCUAACUACGUGCCAGCAGCCGCGGUAA